rnacentral:rRNA from 1 species
CGCCCGCCGCGCGCGGCGGGCUACGGGAGGCAGCAGUGAGGAAUAUUGGUCAAUGGGCGGAAGCCUGAACCAGCCAAGUAGCGUGCAGGAUGACGGCCCUAUGGGUUGUAAACUGCUUUUAUACAGGAAUAAAGUUAGCCACGUGUGGUUAUUUGUAGGUACUGUAUGAAUAAGGACCGGCUAAUUCCGUGCCAGCAGCCGCGGUAAUA